rnacentral:rRNA from 1 species
CCUACGGGAGGCAGCAGUGGGGGAUAUUGCACAAUGGGGGAAACCCUGAUGCAGCGACGCCGCGUGGGUGAAGAAGCGCCUCGGCGCGUAAAGCCCUGUCAGCAGGGAAGAAAAUGACGGUACCUGAAGAAGAAGCCACGGCGAAAUACGUGCCAGCAGCCGCGGUAAUACGUAGGGGGCAAGCGUUAUCCGGAUUUACUGGGCUUAAAGGGGGCGGAGACGGCGAUGCAAGCACGGAGUGAAAGCCCGGGGCCCAACCCCGGGACUGCUAUGGGAACUGCGUGGCUAGAGUGCAGGAGGGGCAGGCGGAAUUCCUGGUGUAGCGGUGAAAUGCGUAGAUAUCAGGAGGAACACCGGUGGCGAAGGCGGCCUGCUGGACUGCAACUGACGUUGAGGCCCGAAAGCGUGGGGAGCAAACAGGAUUAGAUACCCUUGUAGUC